CGAGGGAAAGUCGAAAAGAACUUUGAAGAGAGAGUUAAACAGUACGUGAAACUGCUCAGAGGAAAGCGGGUGGCUGCUAGAGAGGGCCCCGCACGGGAUUCAGCCGGGACGUUCGUCGGUCGGUGCCGGAGUAGAGGGCUUCGAAUAGAGGCUCCGUCUUCGCUCCGACUGGCGCGCGGCCCGUUGCAAUUCCCGCCGCGGAGGCAUCGUCGCAACCGGUGGGGCAGUCAUUUUGAUUGAUGGUUGGCCUGAGGGACGGGGGAUGUCCUGGUGCCGUUCGCGUUCCGACCGUCUGGGUCGGCGCGUCCGGUACCCCCGUACCCUGGCGCGACGCCCCACCGACGUGAAUCCGCCUCCCCUACCGUGCGACCUCGGUCGCGUGGGAGGAACGGCGGUUUGCGGCGAAGUUAUCGGAGCGCCACCCGACCCGUCUUGAAACACGGACCAAGGAGUCUAACGCUUGCGCGAGUCGCAGGGUCUUGCUCAGGCCCGCAGGCGAAACGAAAGUGGACGGCAUCAGAAUCGUCCGCUGCCGGUCGGGAUCCCCGGUCCUCCGGGACGCGGGGCGCACCGACGGCCCUUCCUCGGCGGCUCGCAAACGGUGGACCCGCAGCGAACGCUCGGCGAGGAAGGAGCUUGAGCGCAAGCGCUGGGACCCGAAAGAUGGUGAACUAUACCCGGGCAGGGCGAAGGCAGGAGAAAUCCUGGCGGAGGCCCGCAGCGGUUCUGACGUGCAAAUCGAUCGUCCGACCCGGG
rnacentral:rRNA from 1 species